rnacentral:rRNA from 1 species
UCAAGAGUAGCGAACGGGUGAGUAACGCGUGGGUAACCUACCUAUCAGCGGGGGAUAACUAUUGGAAACGAUAGCUAAUACCGCAUAACAAUGUUGGAUGCAUAUUCGACAUUUGAAAGUACCAAAUGGUACACUGAGAGAUGGACCCGCGUUGUAUUAGCUAGUUGGUAGUGUAAUGGACUACCAAGGCGAUGAUACAUAGCCGACCUGAGAGGGUGAUCGGCCACAUUGGGACUGAGACACGGCCCAAACUCCUACGGGAGGCAGCAGUAGGGAAUCUUCGGCAAUGGACGAAAGUCUGACCGAGCAACGCCGCGUGAGUGAAGAAGGUUUUCGGAUCGUAAAACUCUGUUGUUAGAGAAGAACGUUGCAUAGAGUGGAAAAUUAUGCAAGUGACGGUAUCUAACCAGAAAGGGACGGCUAACUACGUGCCAGCAGCCGCGGUAAUACGUAGGUCCCGAGCGUUGUCCGGAUUUAUUGGGCGUAAAGCGAGCGCAGGUGGUUUAAUAAGUCUGAUGUAAAAGGCAGUGGCUCAACCAUUGUGUGCAUUGGAAACUGUUAGACUUGAGUGCAGUAGAGGAGAGUGGAAUUCCAUGUGUAGCGGUGAAAUGCGUAGAUAUAUGGAGGAACACCGGUGGCGAAAGCGGCUCUCUGGACUGUCACUGACACUGAGGCUCGAAAGCGUGGGUAGCAAACAGGAUUAGAUACCCUGGUAGUCCACGCCGUAAACGAUGAGUGCUAGUUGUUUGGGGCUAUCCAGCCCUAAGUGACGCAGCAAACGCAUUAAGCACUCCGCCUGGGGAGUACGACCGCAAGGUUGAAACUCAAAGGAAUUGACGGGGGCCCGCACAAGCGGUGGAGCAUGUGGUUUAAUUCGAAGCAACGCGAAGAACCUUACCAGGUCUUGACAUACUCGUGCUAUUCCUAGAGAUAGGAAGUUCCUUCGGACACGGAUACCAG